UUGACGUAGACCCGAAACCGGGCGACCUACCCAUGAGCAGGAUGAAGCGAAAGUAAAAUUUCGUGGAGGUCCGAACCCACGAGCGUUGAAAAGCUCGGGGAUGACUUGUGGGUAGCGGUGAAAUUCCAAUCGAGCCCGGAGAUAGCUGGUUCUCCCCGAAAUAGCUUUAGGGCUAGCCUCAAGGUGAGAGAUACGGAGGUAGAGCACUGAAUGUCCUAGGGGGUAUUGCACCUACCGAAGACUAUCAAACUCCGAAUGCCGUCAUCUUAUACUUGGGAGUCAGACUGUGGGUGAUAAGAUUCAUAGUCGAAAGGGCAACAGCCCAGAUCGUCAGCUAAGGUCCCUAAAUGUAAGUUAAGUGGUAAAGGAUGUGGGAUUGCACAGACAACCAGGAUGUUGGCUUAGAAGCAGCCACUCAUUCAAAGAGUGCGUAAUAGCUCACUGGUCGAGUGAUCCUGCGCCGAAGAUUUCCGGGGCUAAAACUUACUACCGAAGCUACGGCAUCAGUAAUGAUGGGUAGGGGAGCUUCCCAUACGGGUUGAAGCAUGACCGUAAGGACAUGUGGACAGUAUGGGAGUGAGAAUGUUGGCAUGAGUAGCGAGAUGUGGGUGAGAAUCCCACAGGCCGUAAACCCAAGGUUUCCAGGGGAAGGUUCGUCCGCCCUGGGUUAGUCGGGACCUAAGCUGAGGCCGAAAGGCGUAGGUGAUGGACAACAGGUUGAUAUUCCUGUACUACCGAUAACCGUUUGAGAGAAGGGAUGACACAGUAGGAUAAGCUAAGCACACUGUUGGUUAUGUGUGCCCAAGCAUUGAGGCAGUCAAAGUAGGCAAAUCCGCUUUGAUAAUGCUGGGAUGUGAUGGGGAGCGAAAUUUAGUAGCGAAGUAGCUGAUUUCACACUGUCAAGAAAAGUCUCUAUCGAGGUUAAAGGUACCCGUACCGCAAACCGACACAGGUGGGUGAGGAGAGUAUCCUAAGGCCAGCGAGAGAACUGUUGUUAAGGAACUCGGCAAAAUGACCCCGUAACUUAGGGAUAAGGGGUGCCACCAUCAGGUGGCCGCAGAGAAUAGGCCCAAGCGACUGUUUACCAAAAACAUAGGUUUCUGCUAAGUCGCAAGACGAUGUAUAGGAGCUGACGCCUGCCCGGUGCUGGAAGGUUAAGGGGAUCUGUUAGAGCAAUCGAAGCAGUGAACUUAAGCCCCAGUAAACGGCGGCCGUAACUAUAACGGUCCUAAGGUAGCGAAAUUCCUUGUCGGGUAAGUUCCGACCCGCACGAAAGGCGUAACGAUUUGGGCACUGUCUCAACAACAGACUCGGUGAAAUUGUAAUUCCGGUGAAGAUGCCGGAUACCUGCGACAGGACGGAAAGACCCCAUGGAGCUUUACUGUAGCUUGACAUUGGGUCUUGGUACUACAUGUACAGGAUAGGUGGGAGGCUUUGAAACCAGGACGCCAGUUUUGGCGGAGCCAUCCUUGGGAUACCACCCUUGUAGUACUGGGACUCUAACCAUAGGCCAUGAAUCUGGUCUUGGGACACUGUCAGGUGGGCAGUUUGACUGGGGCGGUCGCCUCCCAAAAGGUAACGGAGGCGCUCAAAGGUUCUCUCAGUACGGUCGGAAAUCGUACGUAGAGUGUAAAGGCAAAAGAGAGCUUGAUUGCAAGACAUACAGGUCGAGCAAGGAUGAAAAUCGGACUUAGUGAUCCGGUGGUUCUGCGUGGAAGGGCCAUCGCUCAACGGAUAAAAGCUACCCUGGGGAUAACAGGCUUAUCUCCCCCAAGAGUCCACAUCGACGGGGAGGUUUGGCACCUCGAUGUCGGCUCAUCACAUCCUGGGGCUGUAGUAGGUCCCAAGGGUUGGGCUGUUCGCCCAUUAAAGUGGUACGCGAGCUGGGUUCAGAACGUCGUGAGACAGUUCGGUCCCUAUCCGUCGCAGGCGUAGGAAAUUUGAGAAGACCUGUCCUUAGUACGAGAGGACCGGGAUGGACGUACCUCUGGUGUACCAGUUGUCCUGCCAAGGGCAUGGCUGGGUAGCUAUGUACGGAAUGGAUAAGCGCUGAAAGCAUCUAAGCGCGAAGCCAACUUCAAGAUAAGAUUUCCCACCGCAAGGGUAAGACCCCAGAAAGACUAUCUGGUUGAUAGGUCGAAGGUGUAAGUGCAGCAAUGUAUUUAGCUUAUCGAUACUAAUAGGUCGAGGACUUGACCAA
rnacentral:rRNA from 1 species